rnacentral:lncRNA from 1 species
CCGCCGUUCCUCAGCAGCAAUUCAGUGGUUUCAGCCCUUCACCUCAGGGGGUGUACAAUGCCUUGAGUCCUUCUGAUCUCAGUGCAGCUUUCAACAAUAUGCAGAUGAACCAGCCUUCUUCCUCUUGGGCUUCGGAUGUCUUCGACUCCGGGGCUGAGUCUCACGUCACACAUGAACAAGGAUCUUAAAACUAAGAAGCUGCUGUCCCGUCACAACAGCACUGGAAAUCU